AGAGUUUGAUCAUGGCUCAGAUUGAACGCUGGCGGCAUGCUUUACACAUGCAAGUCGANNGCAGCGCGGGGGCAACCCUGCGGCGAGCGGCGAACGGGUGAGGAAUACAUCGGAACGUACCCCGGAGUGGGGGAUAACGCCGCGAAAGCGGCGCUAAUACCGCAUAUGCUCUGAGGAGGAAAGUGGGGGACCUGCAAGGCCUCACGCUCUGGGAGCGGCCGAUGUCCGAUUAGCUUGUUGGUGGGGUAAUGGCUUACCAAGGCGACGAUCGGUAGCUGGUCUGAGAGGAUGAUCAGCCACACUGGGACUGAGACACGGCCCAGACUCCUACGGGAGGCAGCAGUGGGGAAUUUUGGACAAUGGGGGCAACCCUGAUCCAGCCAUGCCGCGUGCGGGAAGAAGGCCUUCGGGUUGUAAACCGCUUUUAGUCGGGAAGAAAAGGUUAUCCCUAAUAAGGAUGACUCUUGACGGUACCGGCGGAAUAAGCACCGGCUAACUACGUGCCAGCAGCCGCGGUAAUACGUAGGGUGCGAGCGUUAAUCGGAAUUACUGGGCGUAAACGUGCGCAGGCGGUUCGUUAAGUCAGAUGUGAAAGCCCCGGGCUCAACCUGGGAACUGCAUUUGAAACUGGCGGGCUUGAGUAUGGCAGAGGGGGGUGGAAUUCCGCGUGUAGCAGUGAAAUGCGUAGAGAUGCGGAGGAACACCGAUGGCGAAGGCAGCCCCCUGGGCCAAUACUGACGCUCAGGCACGAAAGCGUGGGGAGCAAACAGGAUUAGAUACCCUAGUAGUCC
rnacentral:rRNA from 1 species